UUACGGCAACAUCACGUUGAGAGAAUCGGUUUCCGUAUGAUCACCGAAGUUAAGCAACGUCGAACAUGGUCAGUACUUAGAUGGGUUACUGUUUGAGAAUACCAAGUGCUGUAAG